GCGUGGAGGUUCGAGUCCUCUUCAAGGCAUAAUGUUGAGAAUGCCCGUUGAAUUGGAAGGAAUAAGUUCGGCAGCGGA
rnacentral:tRNA from 2 species